rnacentral:rRNA from 1 species
UACGAAGGGUGCAAGCGUUAUCCGGAUUCAUUGGGUUUAAAGGGUGCGUAGGCGGAACAAUAAGUCAGCGGUGAAAGCCCGUAGCUUAACUACGGAAUUGCCGUUGAUACUGUUGUUCUUGAGUACGCUUGACGUGGGCGGAAUGUGCCGUGUAGCGGUGAAAUGCUUAGAUAUGGCACAGAACACCGAUAGUGAAGACAGCUCACGAAGGCGAAACUGACGCUGAGGCACGAAAGCGUGGGGAUCAAACAGGAUUAGAUACCCUGGUAGUCCACGCCGUAAACGAUGAUCACUCGUGAUUGGCGAUAUACGGUCAGUCACCUAGCGAAAGCGUUAAGUGAUCCACCUGGGGAGUACGAUCGCAAGAUUGAAACUCAAAG